rnacentral:rRNA from 1 species
GACGAACGCUGGCGGCGUGCUUAACACAUGCAAGUCGAGCGGUAAGGCCCUUUCGGGGGUACACGAGCGGCGAACGGGUGAGUAACACGUGGGUGACCUGCCCUCAGCUCUGGGAUAAGCCUGGGAAACCGGGUCUAAUACUGGAUAUGACUCCAUGACGCAUAUUGUGGGGUGGAAAGCCUUGUGCGGCUGAGGAUGGGCCCGCGGCCUAUCAGCUUGUUGGUGGGGNGAUGGCCUACCAAGGCGACGACGGGUAGCCGGCCUGAGAGGGCGACCGGCCACACUGGGACUGAGACACGGCCCAGACUCCUACGGGAGGCAGCAGUGGGGAAUCUCGCGCAAUGGGCGAAAGCCUGACGCAGCGACGCCGCGUGAGGGAUGACGGCCUGGUGUAAC